rnacentral:rRNA from 1 species
CGAAAGCCUGACGCAGCGACGCCGCGUGGGGGAUGAAGGUCUUCGGAUUGUAAACCCCUUUCAGGAGGGAAGAUGGAACGGGCAACCGUUCGGACGGUACCUCCAGAAGCAGCCACGGCUAACUUCGUGCCAGCAGCCGCGGUAAUACGAAGG